GUUCCCCCUCCGUCCAUGUUCGAGGACUUGCUCUCUCUCUGCCUCCACUUCACCACUUUUUGGCUACUGAGACGUCUCUGAUUGGUUGAGUUGACCACCCUAUAUAUGAGAGCCUAAGGAGUUGUUUUCCCUCUGUCCCCUUUUGAGGACCUGCUUUGUCUCCUCCAUCAUUCACUGGGCCACUUUUGGGUUCCUGAGCUUAUUUCAUGUGGUCAUGAAUUUGGUGAGGAGUGGAGCUGGCUGGCUGCGGACGAGGAAGUAGGGCAAUAUAUACAUGUGCACAUACACGUAUAUGAGAAUGCAUAUCUAUUCAGACCUGUAAUUCAUGUCUUAGACUUUUUCACACAGCUAUAGAUCA